rnacentral:rRNA from 1 species
UAAAUUCUGAGUGUAGGCUUUGCCUACCAU